rnacentral:rRNA from 1 species
GACGAACGCUGGCGGCGUGCUUAACACAUGCAAGUCGAGCGGUAAGGCCCUUUCGGGGGUACACGAGCGGCGAACGGGUGAGUAACACGUGGGUGACCUGCCUUUAGCUCUGGGAUAAGCCUGGGAAACUGGGUCUAAUACCGGAUACGACUCCGCGGUGCAUGCUGUGGGGUGGAAAGCCUUGUGCGGCUGGAGAUGGGCCCGCGGCCUAUCAGCUUGUUGGUGGGGUNAUGGCCACCAAGGCGACGACGGGUAGCCGGCCUGAGAGGGCGACCGGCCACACUGGGACUGAGACACGGCCCAGACUCCUACGGGAGGCAGCAGUGGGGAAUCUUGCGCAAUGGGCGAAAGCCUGACGCAGCGACGCCGCGUGAGGAUGACGGCCU